rnacentral:rRNA from 1 species
GUGCCAGCCGCCGCGGUAAUACAGAGACCUCAAGCGUUAUCCGGAAUCAUUGGGCGUAAAGCGUACCGAUAGGUGGUUUUGCAAGUCAGAAGUGAAAUCUUCAGGCUCAACCUGGAGACUGUCUUUUGAAACUGCAAAACUAGAGGGGCAAAGAGGAAGCUGGAACGAACGGUGUAGUAGUGAAAUGCGUUGAUAUCGUUCGGAACACCGAUAGCGUAGGCAGGCUUCUGGGUGCCACCUGACACUGCUAGGACGAAAGCGUGGGUAGCGAAUGGGAUUAGAUACCCCAGUAGUCCACGCUGUAAACGAUGAUGAUUAGGUGCUAGGGAGUAUCGACCCUCUUUAGUACCAUAGCUAACGCGUUAAAUCAUCCGCCUGGGGAGUACGGCCGCAAGGCUAAAACUCAAAGGAAUUGACGGGGACCUGCACAAGCGGUGGAGCAUGUGGUUUAAUUCGACGAUAAGCGAGGAACCUUACCAAGUUUUGACAUGCAGCUGCAUAUCUUGGAAACAGAAUAGCCUUCGAGGGUGCUGCACAGGUGCUGCACGGUUGUCGUCAGCUCGUGCCGUGAGGUGUUCACUUAAGUGUGAAAACGAGCGCAACCCCUACGGUGAGUUACAAGUGUCUCACAGAACUGCCCGCGUUUAAGCGGGAGGAAGGUGGGGAUGACGUCAAAUCAGCGUGGCUCUUACAACUUGGGCGACACACGUGCUACAAUGGGUAGGGCAAAGGGACGCCAAGUCGCAAGACGGAGCAAAUCCUAUCAAUACUACCCCCAGUUCGGAUCGAGGGCUGCAACUCGCCCUCGUGAAGCCGGAAUCGCUAGUAACCGUAGAUCAGCCUCGCUACGGUGAAUACGUUCUCAGGUUUUGUACACACCGCCCGUCAAGCCAUGGAAGUGGGAAGCGGAUGAAGCCCCCUAAUUUUAGGGGUCUAGUCCGAAGCUCAUAACUGGGGCUAAGUCGUAACAAGGUAACC